GCCAGUGUGGCUCAGUGGAUAGAGCGUCGGCCUAAGGCCGGAAGGGUCCCGGGUUCAAUUCCGGCCAAGGGCA
rnacentral:tRNA from 1 species